rnacentral:rRNA from 1 species
UGGGUAACCUGCCUCAAAGAGGGGAAUAGCCUCCCGAAAGGGAGAUUAAUACCGCAUAAUAUGUUUAAGUCGCAUGACUUUAACAUCAAAGGAUUUUCUUUUAGAAAUUCCACUUUGAGAUGGACCCGCGGCGCAUUAGCUAGUUGGUGAGGUAACGGCUCACCAAGGCAACGAUGCGUAGCCGACCUGAGAGGGUGAUCGGCCACAUUGGAACUGAGACACGGUCCAGCUCCGUAGGGAGG